UACCCUUCGAUCAGUGCCGCCCUCAUCCUUCAUCAGAGAAGGUUAUUUUUCAGUGGACGGUUGUUGUCACAGAUACCCACAGCUUGACAGAGUGCAGAGGAUAAAUGACUGCAGCGGAUGACUCUAAGUGGAACAUCUACGUCAUUGCCACACACCCCAAAGCUCUAGGAACGUCACAGAAAGGUGGGCUGAAGUGGUGUAAGACAGAGACUGGGAGGCCUGCUCCAAAGCAGGGUCCUUUGAACAGGAGCCUGCCAAUGCACUCCUGAACUCAUUGCGUCUGCCACUACCGGAACAAGACUGGGCAAAUCAGCAUGUCUUCAUGAAGCAGAAGGGGCCGUGACGUCGCGCCCCUACCUAAGGGACUACUGAUAGUUAUUCAUAGCUGAGAUAAAUGGUGUCAUUUUCUUUAGUGUUGUAACCUCUGCAGAGCUGCUGAUGCACCGGUAAAUAACCUCACCCACAUGCUCAUUCAGGAAGCCUCCCUUCGAUUCAGCAUGUGACACAGAGAAAGCUACGAAAUGUUUAUUCCUGCCAAAGAAGAUGUAAAGUUCCCUUUCCCUCCCUGGUGCUGCUGAGGCCGCUGCUUCCACAAGGAAGAGUUGCCAGGUAGAGCACAGAUCCAGAUGGAAGAUUGGAACAUGAGACAAAUGUCACAGCAUCACAUGGCCACAGAAAGCACUGGAUGAAAUCUUGAAGAAAAUCAAGUGUUCAAAGGGAAAUCAUCCAAACAGACAGGAGGCACAAAAGCUAUGAAAAUACUGAAAAGGAAUAACAAGAAGCUAUGUGGCCUGUCAGAUAUUUAAAUGCAUUUCCUUGUUAUGAAAAUAAAGUCUGGAAUAAAUGCAAGAAGAGACAAGUUAUUUCCAUCUGGCUUUGUAUCUGUCACCUUUCACUCAUGUUUCUUGUGACAGGCUCUUGGAACUCCUAUUUACUUGAUGACUUGGAUAGCUUUCUAGAAGUGAUUCUCAUGGGAAACCUUGGAUAAUGAUGAUAGAGAAGGAGAACACCAUUAAAAUGGGAAAACUGUGGGACAAUUCCUGGAAGGUAAUUGACGCUACUAAGAACUAGAGAGUGGCACUCUCCUUUACAAAGUCUGCAAAAUGAAGACUAAAUUUCAAAAGUAUAUGUGCUGCCGAAGCAAGAACGAAUGAACUUUGGG